CCUACGGGAGGCUGCAGUGGGGGAUAUUGCACAAUGGGGGAAACCCUGAUGCAGCGACGCCGCGUGGGUGAAGAAGCGCCUCGGCGCGUACAGCCCUGUCAGCAGGGAAGAAAAUGACGGUACCUGAAGAAGAAGCCCCGGCUAACUACGUGCCAGCAGCCGCGGUAAUACGUAGGGGGCAAGCGUUAUCCGGAUUUACUGGGGGUAAAGGGGGCGCAGACGGCGAGGCAAGCCAGAGGUGAAAGCCCGGGGCCCAACCCCGGGACUGCUCGUGGAACUGCGUGGCUAGAGUGCAGGAGGGGCAGGCGGAAUUCCUGGUGUAGCGGUGAAAUGCGUAGAUAUCAGGAGGAACACCGGUGGCGAAGGCGGCCUGCUGGACUGCAACUGACGUUGAGGCCCGAAAGCGUGGGGAGCAAACAGGAUUAGAUACCCGUGUAGUC
rnacentral:rRNA from 1 species